rnacentral:tRNA from 1 species
GCGGCGCGGGCGCGCGAAGGUCAAGCGGGCGGUGCUCCUGGCGCCGCCGGGAGCGGGGGUUUCCCACCCCCGCACCCCC